GUCUAUGGCCAUUCCACCCUGAAUGUGCCCAAUCUUGUCUGAUCUCAGAAGCUAAGCAGGGUGGACCUGGUUAGUACUUGGAUGGGAGAUCAGCCAGCAAACGAUGUGUGAGGAGU
rnacentral:rRNA from 1 species